CCCUUAGAUGUCCUGGGCUACACGCGCGCUGCACUGAUGUGUCCAGUAAGCACCUAACCUCUUCCGAAAGGAACGGGUAACCUUUGCAAAGCACAUCGUGAUGGGGAUAGAUUAUUGCAAUUAUUAGUCUUGAACGAGGAAUUCCUAGUAAGCACAAGUCAUCAGCUUGUGUUGAUUACGUCCCUGCCCUUUGUACACACCGCCCGUCGCUCCUACCGAUUGAAUGUUCCGGUGAGCUCUUCGGACUGCGCGGUCUGCAGUUUCUGCGUUCCGUGCGGAAAGUUGCGCAAACCUUAACAUUUAGAGGAAGGAGAAGUCGUAACA
rnacentral:rRNA from 1 species